CCUACGGCCGCUUUCCCGCCCCGUGUGCCCGCAGCGUCCAUCCCCACACGGGCCCCGCGCCGGAGGGGGCCCGGUGCUGCCUCGCAGCUCUGAGCGGCCACUCCCGGUCUCUGGCACCGCCAGCAUGGCCGGGCAGUGCUUGGCUGGAAACCAGCGCCCCAAAGCCGAACGCCUCUCGGGGCUGUACUGCUCCUGGCCGCGAAGCGUUUUGGGCUUGGUGGGCACUGAACUCUUCAGUUUCAAGUGGCGGGCACUGCUCUUUACUAGAGAGGUGGUGCAGGUGUAUCAGCUGAUGGGAAACAGAUGUUGCACAGGAGUCCUCCCUGCUCUGUGCAGCACGGGAAGCACAGCUGGAGAACAGUGUUGAGAGGUGUAAGUUCAGGAACAGAGCCCAGCAGCAGAAUCUCAGGAUUAAGAAUAUGCUUAAAGAUUUUUCUGCACCACCAAAAUGCUUAAAAAAAAAGCUAUAUCUAAAAGGCUGGAAGCAGACUUACAAAUAAAACUGGCUCAACUAUUAGAGGGUCUCUGGUGGUUGAUCCUAUAACUAUCCAUAGGUGUCAGGAUAUAUAUAUCGAGCAUUACAAAAAUUCAAGCAUUCAUAGUGCUAGCUCUCUUUUAAAAGCCAGCUGCCUGUGAAAGUCACUGCUUCACAUGUAGCUCCACAAAAUUAUCUUCCAUUCUUCAUGUAUGGCAAACAAUGCUAUUUUUAGAGUAAAAUUGUCAUAAACAUCA